rnacentral:rRNA from 1 species
AGAGUUUGAUCCUGGCUCAGGACGAACGCUGGCGGUGUGCUUCACACAUGCAAGUCGAACGGAGUAGCAAUACUCAGUGGCGGACGGGUGAGUAACACGUGGGAAUCUACCAUUAGGUGGGGAAUAACAGGCCGAAAGGACUGCUAAUGCCGCAUAUGUAGGCAUCUCGACAGAGAUGUUUAUGAAAGGAGUAAUCCGCCUUUUGAUGAGCCCGCGUCCGAUUAGCUAGUUGGUAGGGUAAAAGCCUACCAAGGCGACGAUCGGUAGGUGGUCUGAGAGGAUGAUCACCCACAAUGGGACUGAGACACGGCCCAUACUCCUACGGGAGGCAGCAGUGGGGAAUUUUACGCAAUGGGGGAAACCCUGACGUAGCGACACCGCGUGAGCGAAGAAGCCCUUUGGGGUGUAAAGCUCUGUCAACAGGAACGAAACAAAUGACGGUACCUGUGGAGGAAGCAUCGGCUAACUACGUGCCAGCAGCCGCGGUAAGACGUAGGAUGCAAGCGUUGUCCGGAUUUAUUGGGCGUAAAGAGUUCGUAGGCGGCUUGUUAAGUCUGAUGUUAAAGACCGGGGCUCAACCUCGGAAAUGCAUUGGAUACUGGCAGACUGGAGUGCAGUAGAGGCUAGUGGAAUUCCCAGUGUAGCGGUGAAAUGCGUAG